rnacentral:rRNA from 1 species
UACGUAGGGGGCAAGCGUUGUCCGGAUUUAUUGGGCGUAACGAGCGUGUAGGCGGCCAGGUAGGUCAGCUGUGAAAACUCGAGGCUCAACCUCGAGACGCCGGUUGAAACCAUCUGGCUAGAGUCCGGAAGAGGAGAGUGGAAUUCCUGGUGUAGCGGUGAAAUGCGCAGAUAUCAGGAAGAACACCUGUGGCGAAAGCGGCUCACUGGACCAUAACUGACGCUGAUGCACGAAAGCUAGGGGAGCAAACAGG